ACGGCUCAGUAACACGUAGCUAACCUGCCCUUAAGUCGAGGAUACUCUCGGGAAACUGAGGUUAAUACUCGAUAGGAGAUGUACCCUGGAAUGAUUCAUCUCUCAAAUUCGAGCUUAAGGAUGGGGCUGCGGCGGAUUAGGUUGUUGGCGGGGUAAAGGCCCACCAAGCCGAUGAUCCGUAAGGGCUCUUAGCGGAGAGGCCCUGAGAGGGAAUCUGAGACACUAUUCCCAGCCCUACGGGGUGCAGCAGUUAGGAAUCUUCUGCAAUGCGCGCAAGCGUGACAGAUUGAGUCAGAGUGCUUUUCAUAUGAAAAGCUUUUGCCAAAUGCAAAAAGUUUGGCGAAUAAGGACUGGGUAAGACGGGUGCCAGCCGCCGCGGUAAUACCCGCGGUCCAAGUCGCAGCCACCAUUAUUGGGUCUAAAACAUCCGUAGCUUGCUUAAUAAGUUUCUUGUGAAAUUCUAUGUCUCAAAUAUAGAGCGGGCAAGAAGUACUGUUAAGCUAGAGACUGGAAGACGUAAGAAGUACGUUUGGAGUAGCGGUAAAAUGUGUUAAUCCCAGACGGACUAACAACAGCGAAGGCAUCUUACGAGGACAGUUCUGACAGUAAGGGAUGAAGGCUAGGGGCGCGAAAGGGAUUAGAUACCCCUGUAGUCCUAGCAGUAAACACUGCACACUAAACAUUAGUACCUCCUCGAGAGGUGUUAGUGCUGAAGAGAAGUCGAAGAGUGUGCUACCUGGGAAGUAUAGUCGCAAGGCUGAAACUUAAAGGAAUUGGCGGGGGAGCAC
rnacentral:rRNA from 1 species